rnacentral:rRNA from 1 species
UAGGGAAUCUUCCGCAAUGGACGCAAGUCUGACGGAGCAACGCCGCGUGAGUGAAGAAGGAUUUCGGUUCGUAAAACUCUGUUGUUAGAGAAGAACAGCGCAUAGAGUAACUGUUAUGCGUGUGACGGUAUCUAACCAGAAAGCCACGGCUAACUACGUGCCAGCAGCCGCGGUAAUACGUAGGUGGCAAGCGUUGUCCGGAUUUAUUGGGCGUAAAGCGAGCGCAGGCGGUCAAUUAAGUCUGAUGUGAAAGCCCCCGGCUCAACCGGGGAGGGUCAGUGGAAACUGGUUGACUUGAGUGCAGAAGAGGAGAGUGGACUUCCAUGUGUAGCGGUGAAAUGCGUAGAUAUAUGGAGGAACACCAGUGGCGAAGGCGACUCUCUGGUCUGUAACUGACGCUGAGGCUCGAAAGCGUGGGUAGCAAACAGG